rnacentral:rRNA from 1 species
AGUGAACGCUGGCGGUAGGCCUAACACAUGCAAGUCGAACGGCAGCACAGUAAGAGCUUGCUCUUACGGGUGGUGAGUGGCGGACGGGUGAGGAAUACAUCGGAAUCUACUUUUUCGUGGGGGAUAACGUAGGGAAACUUACGCUAAUACCGCAUACGACCUACGGGUGAAAGCAGGGGAUCUUCGGACCUUGCGCGAUUGAAUGAGCCGAUGUCGGAUUAGCUAGUUGGCGGGGUAAAGGCCCACCAAGGCGACGAUCCGUAGCUGGUCUGAGAGGAUGAUCACCCACACUGGAACUGAGACACGGUCCAGACUCCUACGGGAGGCAGCAGUGGGGAAUAUUGGACAAUGGGCGCAAGCCUGAUCCAGCCAUACCGCGUGGGUGAAGAAGGCCUUCGGGUUGUAAAGCCCUUUUGUUGGGAAAGAAAAGCAGCAGGUUAAUACCCCGCUGUUCUGACGGUACCCAAAGAAUAAGCACCGGCUAACUUCGUG